CAGUCGCCGCGGUAAUACGAGGGGUGCAAGCGUUAUUCGGAUUGAUUGGGUGUAAAGGGUGUGCAGACGGCUUAUUAAGUCACUUGUUAAAUUCUUCGGCCUAACUGAAGGUCUGCAAGUGAUACUGAUGAGCUAGAGGGUGGAAGAGAGAAGUGGGAUUCUCGGAGUAGCGGUAAAAUGCGUAGAUCUCGAGAGGAACACCAAUGGCGAAGGCAGCUUCUUGGUCCAUUCCUGACGUUCAUACACGAAAGCGUGGGGAGCAAACAGGAUUAGAUACCCCCGUAGUCCCUGUCUCUUAUAC
rnacentral:rRNA from 1 species